AACGUUGUUGCAGUUAAAAAGCUCGUAGUUGAAGUGYGUUUUUGUGUUGAUGAGUGACUUCGGUUAUUUAUGAAUACGAAUUCCAUUAAUAAGAUUCAUAGGGGGUAUUAAUUUAUCGUUUAUGAGUGUUAUUUCAUUUACUGUGAGAAAAUUAGAGUGUUCAAAGCAGACGUUUGUUUGAAUAGAUUAGCAUGGAAUAAUAGUAUAUGGCUUACGAUAUAUAUGUUAUGGUUGAAUAUUGUAAGUAAGAUUUUUAGGAACAGUUGGGGGUAUUCAUAUUCAAUAGUCAGAGGUGAAAUUCUCGGAUUUAUGGAAGAUGAACGAAUGCGAAAGCAUUUACCAAGGAUGUUUUCAUUAAUCAAGAACGAAAGUUAGGGGAUCGAAGAGGAUUAGAUACCCUCGUAGUCUUAACUAUAAACGAUACCGACUAGGGCUUAGUGGAAGUCUUUGUGUUYUCAUUAGGACCUUAUGAGAAAUCAAAGUCUUUGGGGUCCGGGGGGAGUAUGGUCGCAAGGCUGAAACUUAAAGGAAUUGACGGAAGGGCACCACCAGGAGUGGAGCCUGCGGCUUAUUUUGACUCAACACGGGGAAACUUACCAGGUCCAGACAUAGGAAG
rnacentral:rRNA from 1 species